rnacentral:lncRNA from 1 species
UGCAUGCCUAAAGGAAUAGUAUAUGGCAACGGUACAAGAUAGUGUCGAUCAUCGCUUUAGAUAAGUCGUUUCCAAGAGAAAGGUACAUCUUCUCCCAUUUCCCCAAAAAGAAGCCCUUCAUAAGACACAUUCCUUCCAUCCUCACAACCGAACGACGCGCUUCUAUCCUCACAACCUCAGAACGACACAACUUACCGCUAUAUCAAUUCAAUCCUUCGUAUCGUCGUUUCUCUUUCAACGCCUCACCUUCUAUAUAAAGCCUUUUUCACUGGUGCCCAUCAAAUUAGACCGGCAACUCCAUUUGGGAGAUACUCUGGUUUCUCAGGUAUGUGUUUUUGAAAUUUUGGGUUCUAAUUUUCCUAUACUCGCUUACAGUGGUCAACAAAACCCACAAAUUUUGAUCUAUCAUUUUCUCUAUUUCUCUCUUCUUUUGUCUUUCCUUCAGAAAUCGUCUUACCUCUGUAACAAACUUAAUGGGGUUUUCAGUUUUAGGGUUUCUAAAAAAAAAUAUUUUAUUUAUGUUUUAUUUAGAGUAUGUCUUUCUUGGGGUCAUGGGAGUUUUUUGUAUAUGGUUUUUGGGCUUUUCUCAUGUAUUUUCAAUUUGAAUUGAUGAUGUUUAAUCUGGGAUGUUCUGAAUCAUUCUUAGAAAGAUUCCCACUUGGUGCCAAAUCAUUUAAAAGGACCUGUUACUUGCUAUGAAACAUCUUCAUACAGUAAGAAACAUCCAUAUCUUUAUUUUUUUUUUUAUGAAAUAGCAAUUUAUUCCAACUUGAUUUGAUUGUAAUCAAUGAUUUUGCAUUACUGCAUGUUUUAGAAUCAUUUGGUGGUUGUAAUCUGCGUAUGAUGUCUAUUUACUGAUAGGGCUGGUUGCACAAUCCGUUUUUUGAUGAACAAAUAGAAAGAACUUAUUCCAGUUGCUAGAUGAAGAACUUAUAAAAAUCAACCAGAAUUGGAUUUCCUUCAAUAAUUCAUCUAAUGCUAAAGUUUAGUUUCUAAUUUCGACGUAUUGUUCAUUUAAUUUGAUUGUUUAGUGUUUUAGAACUCAAUUUCUUGACUUAUUAUGUAUAUGGUUAGUAAUUUUAAUCCGGUGUCCACUUAUUGGUUUAAUUUUGUUGAUUUUUAGGAGCAAUAGAUAUAAUGAUUGUUAUAAGAACUUGACACAUACCUUUAUCAUAUGAAGACCAAUGGUUAUGUUAUCUUUUCUUUUUACCAUCAAUGACAACUGUCAUAUAUUAUCUUUUCUACUCCAGCAUAGUUUGAUGGAAAUAAAUAAUCUUCUGAAAACGAGUUGGGUCACAAGACCUACAGACUUAGCUGUUAUGAUUACUUUAUUUAGGUCAGUGAUUGAAAAGAGAGGAUGAGAGAUUAUCUUGGAACAACGCCUCCGGUUGUGCCACAUAUUACAAAUGCCAUUCAACAAUGGAUAUUUUUGGUUAUUUUAUCUUUUACUAAGACUAUAAAUUGUUCUUUCAGGGAAUACUGAAUCCAUUUCAUUUAUUCUCUGAUGUAAAUGACAUUAAAGUUGCUUAUACUAUAAAUGAUGGUACAAAAGAACCAUUUGGAUGAAAAGUUUGUUGGUUACAUUCUUUUUAGUACUUUUUUUAUUCUUUCAUUAACUUUUUUUUUUGCUUUUUUAAGGUUUUAUUGUUAUUUUUUAUGUACAGUGCAGCGUGACAGAUAUAAAUAUGGCCUUUGGGUGUAAACCAUCAAGUUUUUGAUUAUCGGUGGUGAUGCUUAUAUGCUGGUACAAGUUGGUAUUCUCCUGUGUAUAAGUUGGGAAGAUUGGUUUUGGGCAGGCUUAUGUUGGGAGGCAGGUAAGCAGUGGUACAAAAAAAACAGGUGCUUAUUAUACAGUCAAGCUGCAUAGAAAUAAUAAACAAGGUAGUUAAAAUAAUUACCAAAAGGAAAAGUUUUAUGUCAAAUUUAAAUUAAUAACAUUUGUAAAUUUGAGCAGUGGGUAUCAUAACAUGAAGGAGAUUUAGUGAUCAAAAAUAAGAAACCGGUGUGGGAGUUGUCAAAUCAAAACUCUAAUUUAUCCCAUAAUAAUUCUUGAACCAAUUACACAAAAAAAACCUCAUCUUUAUCCAUGGGUUGUCUUUGCUAACUAAGAAAUGGUCAAUUUCAAUCCCUUCAAGUGAUUUGUGAUUUUAGCAGUUGCCUUCUGGUAUAUCAGAUGUUGUUACUUGUGAUUAUUACCACUUAAGUUAAUAAUGUUUGACCUUCUUAUGAAUAGACAAUAUAAGUAUUCAUUUAAUAAGAAAAAAGAGAUAAAGCCUCAUUUUUAUUAGAGGUACAACUAAUUCUAUGCUUUUCCAGUAAUACCAUCACUCUCAAAUACCACAAAAUGCUUAAUUGUAAAUUUUAAAUUGACAUCAGACUUUUAGUUUGCUAUUAAUCUGACUAUUUACAGUAAUCUAUUAUGCACCUGGUGAUGAUGUAUGUUAUAGUGUAGGUCCUUUUUUUUCCUAGACUUGCCUAUGGGAUUCUGGACAAGAUUUGUCUUCUGACCGAAUUUCUCUUAUUUUUCUUUUAUUUUAAGGAACUUUAUAUGAAAGUUACAUGCACUGCCUGAUUAAUAUUAUAAAUGUUUAUUUUCGAUAGAGUCAGUUAGUUAACCUUUAAAGGUGGAUAGUUAUCUCGAUUCUUUAAUUUCUAUUUUGGUAUUGAAUGUCCAUUAUAUGUUUCAGUCAUUCAAUGAGCCCGACUUUCAACUAAAAGGUUCGUUUACGAUAUCAAUUUCUUCCAUAUUGUGAUUCAUAAAUUUUAGACAAGUUGACCCAUGGUUGGUUUCAUCUCUUGCCAUCAUUAGAAUAUAAAACUUACGAAUACCAAAAUGAGACCAUGUAAUGGUAGUAGAAAGGCUAAAUGAACCAUGGUAUAGCCAUAAAACUUUUAUUGUUGCAUCAUUGAACUAUACGAGAUACAUGUGCUUUAAUGAAUGUCGAUUCAUAUAGGUAAAAAUUCAAGUUUUACUUUUGUUUAAAUAUAAACUUUGUGUGUGUGUAUAUAUAUAUAUNCACAUAUAUAUAUAUAUAUACACACACACACACACACACACACACAUAUAUAUAUAUAUAUAUAUAUUGUAAUUUAGCAUAAAUAAAAAUAAAAAACCAAGUUUUUGUAAUUUCUUUUAAAUAUAAACAAGAAAGUUAAAUUAUCAUAGAAAAUGAUAUUCUUUCAUGUCAAAACUAUCAUAAAUGGGGUGAAACACAAACACAACUACAUACACAUUGGGUCAUUGUGUGUGAUGUUGUAUAUGUGUGUGCGUGAGUGGUAUGUGUGUGAUACUAUUAAAACUUUAAAGUAUAAGACAAAAUUAUAUUCUAAAAUAGCAAUGUACUUACGCAUAGAUAUUUUUUAUGGUGAAACUAUCAAGAUGGGGUGAAACAAACACACAUACAUAAAUACAUGCACAUUGUGCAUGCUGAUGUGUAUGUGUGUGGGGCAAUGUAUGACUUAUUCUUAUAUUCCUUGCAUAUAUAAUUUACUGUUAAGUUAUUGUUUCCGACUUACCGAGCUAUGAUAUGCUACUCAAAAUUAUACCUCAUGUGCAAUGUUAUGUUGCUCAAUAUCAUCCUUGUUGAUGAAUUUCCUAAUUUAUACUAUACAACAAGUUAAAAGUGUGAGUAGUUCAUAUAUUUCCACAAUGUUAUACCUUUGUAUGUUUGUCAGAUUUAGUUUACACCUUGGAUGUGGGUUUUCAUUUACUUUUGGCUUUUUGAUGUAGGAUACCCGUGAUGCCAGCUGCAAAAUAGAUACAAUGAUUGAUGCAUCAUAUAAGCAACUGCAGUGGUGCCGGACAAUUUGAUCAAGAGAACCCCACUAUGAGGUUAUUAUGUCCAUUAAUUGGUCAUUGUUGUCAUAUUCUUACCGCAUAACAUUGCACAUUAUAAAAUGUGACAAUUUUAUCAAGAGAACCCUACUAUGAAUCAGUGUAAUAUUGAUAUGCCUGCAAAAAUGUUUAAUUAUAAAUUCAAUUGAUGAAUGAAAAAAAAACUGAAUUGAUCAUCUAAUAUUUUUCACCAAUAUACUAAGAAUAGUAAAUUGCAAGGAAUAACAUCAUUUUUUAUAUUACUAUAGCAUUAUACAUUACUUUUUAUAUGUAAUAUCACUAAACUUAUAAUAUACAUUAUAUAACGGUGAAAGAAAACCCAAAUUAUUUUUCGUGGAUCGUGCUUG